UUUGUGAAUCCAUAUUCACUACUCAUGAUUACCUUCUUCUCAUCAGUUACCUGGAGAUGGCAUCCAGAGCAAGUUGUUCCGUCACCUUUCCAGGGGCCUGACAGAUGGGCCGAAAGCACUGCAGACGUUUGAACAAGGAAAUGGAGAGGGAGCCUGCUGGAAACAGGGCUUCACGCAGCCAGCCGUGGAUGAUGAAUAGAGUGUGAUUGUGUCUGACAGGAGGCAACAAUGCUUUAAAAAUAGAAAGCCAGGACCUCAGAACAGAUUUCUGUCAGUUUGAGAUGCAGAAGAGCAGCAGUAAAUUGGCUCAUUGAAUUGCCUGCUAUUUUCCAGACAGAAGCUAUUAAAA